rnacentral:sRNA from 1 species
GGAUGCCGGCGGUCUCUGCUGAAGAGAGAAGAUGGCGCUUGACGGACCAGAGCAGGUAUGGCGGGUGCAGUGGCGGCCCGGCAGGUUAUGGGGCUGGGUGCGGAGCGAGCGUGAUCUGAGUGGAGAGCGGGCCGGGGCAGGAGCGUCGGGUGGGUCCAUGGAUUUUCAAUUUCACCCUAACCCCCUGCGUUGUUCAAGUGUCAACUGUAAUAUAAAUUGGAUGGGGGAAAGCCACAAAGGACAAUUCUGAAUUCCAAGUGCAUUUGCAGGUAUUAUGUUUAGUUUACCAUUUUUGAAUGCUUUUUCAUGUAUUUUUAUUCGUUCACCUUAGUAGUCUUGAAGCAGGGUAGCUGAUGCUAUACCCAUGUGCCCUUUGGUAACAGAUCUAGAUUUUUAAAAAUAGAUUGUCUUACCUUUACUUUGCUUUUGAUUGACAGCGGCUGGGCUAGAACUCAGGCUUCUCACCUAACAAUCUUUCCACCAGGUGAUGUUGCCUUCCUGCAAGAAAUUUGGUGUUACAUGAGCCAGCUGUAACUUUUGUCCAUUAGAUUCUGUUAUUCCUGGACCAGUAUUGGACAAGCAGCCUUCUUUGAUGGCUGCUGUAAGCUCCAGAGGGACUCUUGGAGGACAGGGCAGGGUCAUUAGGAUCAUACUGGAGAAUGUGAAACAACACGCAGAUGCCCUGUGCCCUUCCCUCAGCUCGUUCAGACCUGUGAGGUCUUGGCCAAGAUCCUACCUCCUCCUGUCUCCUGCCCUUGAGUAAUGGAAUUUGUCUCUUGUCCACCACAGCUGAUUGUGAAUGAUAAGAGCCAAAACCUCCGGAGGCUGCAGGCACAGAGGAAUGAACUAAAUGCUAAAGGUGAGUGGAGAAAGGUGGGAAACCGCAUGUGGGCAGUUUGUCUGAGGUCUGUCCUAACCUCCCUGCACUGUCUUCACAGCAGUGCUUACUGUUUUCUCCCUGUCAUCAUCUAGUAGUUUCACAUGCAUCUCUUUUUCCUGAGCCCCAUUGUAGCCUCCUUAAAAACAUGAAUUUUGACCUUUGGCCUUCCUUUAAUAAGAGUGAUGCUUAGCUCAUGCACGUAGAAUUGGGUCCUGGAGACUCCAAAGGAGUAGCUAAGUGACCACCGUGUCUGUUUGCCAUCUAGUUCGCCUACUACGGGAGGAGCUACAGCUGCUGCAGGAGCAGGGCUCCUAUGUGGGGGAAGUAGUCCGGGCCAUGGAUAAGAAGAAAGUGUUGGUCAAGGUAAAAGCAGCAUGACCCCAGGGACCAGCUUGGUCUCCACUGCAUUCCCACCCCUUUGUGUGUAGCCUCGGGAGACGGGGUUCUGUGUUCUGUCAAGGUAUUGUGGGAUUCUUGUAGGUCUUCCUGGGUAGGAUUAGUGAUUUGGUGGCUGUCAAGGAAGGUCAUGAGCCCUUGUUUCUUUAGGUACAUCCUGAAGGUAAAUUUGUUGUAGACGUGGACAAAAACAUUGACAUCAAUGAUGUGAGUGUAGCAGGUGAGGUGGUGGUGGUGGUGGGGUCAGCUUUUAUUGUACCACUUCUGAAACUCGCCCCCUUCACCCAGGUGACACCCAAUUGCCGGGUGGCUCUAAGGAAUGACAGCUACACUCUGCACAAGAUCCUGCCCAACAAAGUAGACCCAUUAGUGUCACUGAUGAUGGUGGAGAAAGUACCAGAUUCAACUUACGAGAUGAUUGGUGGACUGGACAAACAGAUCAAGGAGAUCAAAGAAGUGAUCGAGCUGCCUGUUAAGCAUCCUGAGCUCUUCGAAGCACUGGGCAUUGCUCAGCCCAAGGGAGUGCUGCUGUAUGGACCUCCAGGCACUGGGAAGACACUGUUGGCCCGGGCUGUGGCUCAUCAUACGGACUGUACCUUUAUUCGUGUCUCUGGCUCUGAAUUGGUACAGAAAUUCAUAGGGGAAGGUAACCAUGGCUAGCAAUGUGAGAAGCAAGAGGUAGGGGUAGGGUGUUAGUGAGCUAAUAAGCUAAUAAGCUCCCUAACACCAGCUCGGCCUCCACACAGGGGCAAGAAUGGUGAGGGAGCUGUUUGUCAUGGCACGGGAACAUGCUCCGUCUAUCAUCUUCAUGGACGAAAUCGACUCCAUC